AUGCUGUCACUAAGCUACUCUCCUCCUUCUGAAGAAGAAGAGGAGGAUGAUAUCACAGUAAAACAAGUAGAGGGUGAGGCCGUUACUGUGAAGGAAGAGGAGGAUGUUACAGUAAAAGAGGAGGAGGAUGUUACAGUAAAAGAAGAGGAGGAUGUUACAGUAAAAGAAGCCAUUCUGGCUGGAUGCCAGCUUCCCUCUGGCAAAUGCGGGACGCUGGCACCGAGCAUACCGGCCUGUGAAUACUCCGCCUCGGUACCGUGCCCAUCACCCCAUAGCACGGGGCCUGACCAGUCCCAUGCUCGCCACGGUAAGUAUGGGGAGUUGGCUCAAGUCUGCUUCCUUACUCUGCCACACUCCCCGUGGCCUCUCCCUAAAAAAAUUGGGGGGGGGCUGCCUCUCGGGCUUCCUUGCCAGCCGUGUUCGCUGGUUCCUCUCUCCGGCUGCCUCUGCUCUCCUAGCUGCCUCCACCUGUUUCCAUGGAAGGCGAUCCCUUCCCGCCAGGAUCUCCUCCCAUGA
rnacentral:lncRNA from 13 species